rnacentral:rRNA from 1 species
AGCUUCAGUAGCAUAUAUUAAAGUUGCUGCGGUUAAAAGGCUCGUAGUUGAAUGUCUGUUCCGAAGUGCGGCAGGUGGACGUUGGAUUUGUUGUUGGCUCCUUCGCGGUGUCCAGCUCACGCUCCCGUCCGUUAACAUCCUCCGCACUCGCGUACAAAAGGGCGUCGACCGAGAGUUCGCUCUCGCAGACGCCACAGUCACCCUGAGUAAAUCAGAGUGCUCAAAGCAGUCGUAAAGGGCCUAGCCCUGUUAACACACGGAGCGUGGCUUCGUGCCCGCUCUAAGAGGACAGACUUGGUUUUGCAUGGUAUGUCGGAAUACGACGUCGGGCGCUGGCUAAUGGUCGUAGCAGUGGUAUAAGCCAGCCUCGACGUAAUGAUUAAAAGGGCUUGUCGAGGGCAUUGGUAUUGCGAAGCGAGAGGUGAAAUUCUAUGACCUUCGCAAGACCUCCUGAAGCGAAAGCGUCUGCCAAGGAUGUUUUCA